UUUGGAUAUAUUUUAGAUAUCUAAUUUCAUAUGUUAUAAUUUUUAAUAGUAAAAUAAUUUGUUCAAUUGAUUCACCAAACGAAAUAAUUUAAAAAUGACAUUUUCCGGUUGGAGGUAGCAGCUAGCAACACUUGGCAAAUGGCGGGAUUCUGAGCGGAGCACCGUACCGUGCGGUCGUGCAACCGAGAUUGUGUGGAAAAGAAUAAAGAUUGAUAGUUUGUUGAAAGUGUUGACGUUUUCUUGGAGAGGAGUCCUAUACCUUGGAGUGGAGUUCUUACAUUUCAGAAGUGGGAUACAGCGCAAAUACUGCUUGCCAGAUCAGACCAUGAAUGCCACCGGCAGCUGGACUCAGCACAGGCUGAAGAUGCCGGAAAGAGAGUCGCCGCGAAGCAACCACACUGGCAGUCGAAGCGGAAGUCGCAGUCGACGUCUGGGAGAGCAAGAGAGGAGCGCGAGCCAGCAAAGAUCAGCGCCGCACUGCCACGAUGGGCACCAGGAUGUCAACCAGGAACAACAACCAUCACGAAGGUUAUGUAUGUCCAGUUUUUUUUACUACUAACGAUCUUUUAAAGCUACUAAAUUCCGUUAAACGUGUACCGUCGCGUCGCCGUCUCAACCCAUGGCUCAAGGCGCACCAUCGAAACAUUUCGAUUUUAAAAACAUAUUGCCUAAUUUUAAUCCGGCUACUAAAAAUCAACGCAUGGAUGUUUGGCUUAGAAAGGUGAACGAGUGCGCCUCAGCCGAUGGUUGGGACGACAAAUGACGAUAUUUUUGCUAUGCAGGAGCUGCAGGGAUUGGCCAAACUUGAUAUGAGAGUUUAAACUCUAAACUAUUUACGUGGCGGGAGUGUCAGGAGAAAUUACUUAGUGCAUUCCUUGUGAACAAAUUAUGGUCAAACCCUGGAGGACAUGCUUAAUAACUUCCCUGUCCCAUGAGUCAUAUGUGAAACACACCGAUUGUCUUACUAUUGUGUCUGCUUCGUGGACAGUGAAGUGGUUAAACGUAGAAGUAGAUGCUACGAACGAACCUAUUUAUGAUUUAUUAUUAUGAAAAACUUGCUGAAUCAGUGCGAUAUCACGGGAAAACGAGCUGUAGAUUGCAUUAGCAUUACCCACAGAAUCAGUGAUCGGACUGUGAAAUCUAAUGCUUUGCGAGAUGCCUGACCAGUUACUUCAGUCCUUGAUUAACAAUAAAGAAUUUUAAUUGUAAGCAGAAGAAGGACAUCCUUACCUUCAAUGUCCUAAGCCUUUUAUCCGAUGCGAUAAAUGGAAAAGUAGGUCACAAAACCGACAACUGUUUCAGUAAACAGGAUAGAUCUGAGCUUUUUUUUUAUUUGUGUUAACAUGUGUGUAACUACGUUUUAUUUAAAAAAAAAAAAAAAAACUUAUUUAUGGCAACUGGUUUAUUUUUAAAUAGUGUAUAGAUUGAAAUUAACGAAAAUUAAGUUAGAACGCCAAAAAUAUAACUAGAAUAAAAAAUAUCCGAAUACAUGAUGAAAAAGCUGAGUGAAAAAGUCUAAAAAACACUAAACACUUCGAGAAUGUGACUCUAUUGAGAAUGAUAUUAACAAAAAAAAUACACAAAGUAUUAUUAAUAUUUUUACUACUAAUUAAAGAAAACAAUCUUGUCAACAGAAAAAAAAAACACAAAACACGACAAUUCUUUGAACGUUUAAUAACAAAAAUCAAACUUUCAGUUAUGUGACUUUUGAUGCACAUCGGAUAUUAAUUUUUAAAAUAUUAAGCUAUAAUAAAAAUAUAUUUCUGCAGUGAUCCCUAGUUAUGAAUCAAAAUUAAAUUCCUGUCCAUGUCGAAAACAGAACAAAACAGUGUUUUAUAAAGAAUUUUAAUUUUUUUUGUUUAAAAUAGAAAACAGGGACAGUCAUACCACUGAACGCCUGAAAAGGAUAAAGCUUCAUCUACGUGGACGCUAUUAUUAUAAUUAUGUAAUAUUCCAGAUCAACAUUUAAUAAUAAUCAAGAAAUACUAUAUCUUUUCAAUAAUGGAACAAAUAAUUACAAAAAAAUGUUAUACCUCGUUUACAUAAAGAUUGUAAACAUGAAUAAAAUAAAAAUGAUACCCACAGAAAACUAUUAUUCUGAAUUUCUGAAACAACAUCACUGUUUCCAUGUAAACUUAACUUUAUAGGAUCAGUCAUGUUGUGACUUUGAGCUCAGCCCGUAUGUGACCAUAGAUUUGGUCACAAAACGGAAGUCACAUUUUCAUACUUGCCGAUUAAAAAGAAAAUUAUAAAUAAUUAUUUGUGGUUCUUUUCCAUUUGAUGUCAUUUUAAAAAGUAACCGAAAGAAAUGGCGGUUUCUAGAAAUAAACAGCAAUCCUAAUAUUUGGUUACGCUGUAGUAAAAUUCAAACACAUAUCUGAACAUAAAUUCCGUUCUUGUACAAUAAAACGUCUACGUUCCUCAAAGUCAUUUUGACUUUAAUUAAUAGUAAAGUAAAAUAAAACGCAGUAGUAUGUUUAAGUAGUGCCUGUUUCAAAGUAUUAGGACCCAAAAAUUGUGGCUUAAAGUACUAUAAAAUGCGGUCACGAUACUGAAUGUUCAGGGUGGAUCAAAUUUUUUUAUUUUUUUAUGUAAAUAAGCCAGCAUAUUACAAAUGAAUUGAUGAAUAUUAUUAAAUGAUGACGAAUAACCAAUUAAUAUUUUUAUAAAAUGAUUAUCGAUAUUUUGUUUUCUUUUAUUGAUGCGAGAUAAGGAAUUGUCCAUAAAUUGAUUUUUGUCAUUGAUUGUUUAAUAUCAAGUGGUUACCAAGAUUUUAUUCCUUAGAAAUGUCAAAAGGUUAAUAUUUAAGUUUACUUACUUCCUUUUAUGUAUUGUUAUGUAUUGUUAAGUAUUGUUAGUUAUCCAUGAUAUUCCUUUGAAUUCGAAUGAAGUCUUUAGAUUAAGAUGACACAUGUAAAUGAUUGAGUAAUGAUGAUCUUUUGAAUUAUGCGAGAAAUGAAUGGUUCGCUAUUUAGAUUGAGUGUCUGUGAGAAAUGAAGGGUUCAUAUGACAAUCAAUUUUCAGUUGGAUAUGACCUUGCGAUAAAUGAAUGACUGGUUUUGGUCAUCAUUUUAUAUUCUCGCGAGAAACGAAAGUUUCGUGGGAGCAUAAAUUAUCAAGUAAGGCUGUAAAUAGUUUAUUGUCUCAAAAAAGAUACACACAAGAGAAAACACACAUCAGUGAUUACAAUUUUCACAUGUACAAUAAUUUCGUUGAACACUGGUACCCAAAGGAAAAUUUAACUUGUGGUAUGGGUACAGGGGCUCUCGAUAUUGAUUUCCACAGAUAGUUAACGUGAAAGUUAAUAGUAGUGAAUCGUACAUUAGAUGUAGAAAUGGUAUGGUGGGAUUGCUGGGUUUCGUGGAUCUAGGUUUAACAUGAGUUGAGGUAAACGCGGUUGUUUCUUGCAAGGUCGUUAACGAUAAUUUGUUAGACACACCAAUUCUUAUCGGGCAGACGUUGACCGAGCAGCCACUUCUAGUUAUUUAGAAGGAUUUUAAUGAGCUUAAAUUCUCAAACCACCGAAAUGUUCGGAUGAUAGCAAUAAUGAUAAAACGGUUACAGUCAGUAACUCUUUUAAAGUAGAGUCACCGUUUCACGCACUCCAUUUAGACCACUUGGGGCCUUUUGUGAAGUCAACAUUUGGGUAUAUUCACAUACUGGUGGUAGCUGAUGUUUUAACAAUAUCGUAUUUAUUAGAGCCGUUAGGAACACUAAUACACAGAAUGUUAUCAAGGUCUUAAAUGAUAUAUUUGAUACUUUUAGGACGCCCAUCCGUUUAAUAAGUAAUCGCCGUAGUUGUUUUACUUCACAUGCGUUUAAAAGGCUUUGUCUGGAUAAGGGCGUGAAAAAUGUUUGAACGCGGUGGCUUAUCCGCGCUCAGACGGACGAGUGGAGCGAUAUGGUCGCGCCAAAUUGGAGGCAUUAAAGGCGCAAAACGUGGGCAGUGACGAAAGAGACUGGGAUAGUAAGAUGGGGAAAAUCCAGUGGGGUCAUAAUGAUAGCUUGCAGAAGACCAUAGGUCCGAAGAGGUGAAUGAAUGGUGAAAUGAAUCCCAUAUUAAACGAAGUAGCCCGGGCUAAUGAUGUUGAUUAUGAUAGUGAAUUAGUAUUAUGAUAAGAGUGGAAAGCAGGCUGGAAUUUGUAGUAAAGGAUUUGGUCAAGUUACUAAAAUGAAUUUGCAUAAUGAGGGUAAAAGUUUAAAGCUUUUAGAGUUACGAAGGUCUUAGGCAACAACAGGUAGAGACUGGUUCCUGUCCUAGUACUUGAGCGUACGCGUACGCCUAGUGUGGGCGCAACGCUGCCGUGGCUGUGGAUUGAAUGCGUCUUUUGAUUCAUGCGGAGUCACUGGGGGUGAACGAUGACGGCAUUGAUUGAGUGUAUAAAUCGAGUAAUGAUGGUAGUGGUGAUGAAAUGUAGAUAAGCGUUUUUAAAAGAUAUAAUAUUAUGUGAUUGUUUAUUGCGAAACAGAUGUAUAGAUUAGAUUAAAUUAGUUAUUUUCUUAUAAUACAUUUACAGAUUAUCUGAUUUAAUUGUUUUUACCGGAUACUUGUUCAUUGUAUGAAUUUAGUAUUGUUACAGAUAUCGCUCCUUGACUCUAAGAAGUGAUUGGUUUAAAGAUUCGAGAGAGAAAUUCGUCACGAGUCGUCGAGAAUUGACUGGUUCGAAGCAUAUGCAGAUGAGUUUAUAGUGUAAGUCCUUCAGAAAUGAAUGGUUGAAGGCAUUCUAGUUUCUCCUUCAGAAAUGAAUGGUUGAAGGAGUUCGUCUAGUUGAAACCCUCAGAAAUGAAUGGUUGAGGGAUAGGAAGUCCUCGAGAAUUGAUUGGUUCGAGCACAUGAUGAGUUUAUGUUGUAAUUCCUUCAGAAAUGAAUGGUUGAAGGAGUUAGCAUUAGUGUUUUGACUGUGGUGUCUCAAUCAAUAUAUUUAUGCCAAUAUAAUAUAUGUAAGGCUUAUUAAUGUUAAUGAUUAUUUCACAGAUACAGUGUUGUUUUUUUUUUUGUUUUAAUUUUUGUGAAUAUAAUUUGAAACGAUGUUGAAUUGUACAAGUUGUAAUUCAAUUAUUAUUAAAUUGUAAUAGACAGCUGUGUUGCUGGGAAGUUUGUUCUUCACCACUUCUUCUUCCCAGCCAUAACACUAGGAAGUGGUGAAAGGGGGGCGUUUUGGGGGUGCUGUCCUUUUAUGUAAAAUAUCGCUAUUGGCCAAGUGUAAGGUUAGCCCACCUAGUACGUGUAUGGGGACAUACACGAGGUCAGGAUGGACGAGUGUAAGGUUUGGAUAUAUUUUAGAUAUCUAAUUUCAUAUGUUAUAAUUUUUAAUAGUAAAAUAAUUUGUUCAAUUGAUUCACCAAACGAAAUAAUUUAAAAAUGACAUUUUCCGGUUGGAGGUAGCAGCUAGCAACACUUGGCAAAUGGCGGGAUUCUGAGCGGAGCACCGUACCGUGCGGUCGUGCAACCGAGAUUGUGUGGAAAAGAAUAAAGAUUGAUAGUUUGUUGAAA